rnacentral:rRNA from 1 species
GAACGCUGGCGGCGUGCCUAACACAUGCAAGUCGAACGAAGCACUGUCGAAUGAGGAUUCGUCUGAAUUUGGCUUUGACUUAGUGGCGGACGGGUGAGUAAUGCGUGAGCAACCUGCCUUUCAGAGGGGGACAACAGUUGGAAACGACUGCUAAUACCGCAUGACAUAUUGAGAUCGCAUGGUUUUAAUAUUAAAGAUUUAUCGCUGAAAGAUGGGCUCACGUCUGAUUAGUUAGUUGGUGAGGUAACGGCUCACCAAGACUGCGAUCAGUAGCCGGACUGAGAGGUUGAACGGCCACAUUGGGACUGAGAUACGGCCCAGACUCCUACGGGAGGCAGCAGUGGGGAAUAUUGGGCAAUGGGCGAAAGCCUGACCCAGCAACGCCGCGUGAAGGAAGAAGGUUUUCGGAUUGUAAACUUCUUUUAUCAGGGACGAAGAAAGUGACGGUACCUGAUGAAUAAGCCACGGCUAACUACGUG